rnacentral:rRNA from 1 species
GAUGAACGCUGGCGGCGUGCCUAAUACAUGCAAGUCGAGCGAACAGACGAGAGUGCUUGCACUCUCUGACGUUAGCGGCGGACGGGUGAGUAACACGUGGGUAACCUACCUAUAAGACUGGGAUAACUUCGGGAAACCGGAGCUAAUACCGGAUAAUAUUUAGCUUCGCAUGAAGCAAUAGUGAAAGACGGUUCUGCUGUCACUUAUAGAUGGACCCGCGGUGUAUUAGCUAGUUGGUGAGGUAACGGCUCACCAAGGCAACGAUACAUAGCCGACCUGAGAGGGUGAUCGGCCACACUGGGACUGAGACACGGCCCAGACUCCUACGGGAGGCAGCAGUAGGGAAUCUUCCGCAAAGGACGAAAGUCUGACGGAGCAAUGCCGCGUGAGUGAAGAAGGUUUUCGGAUCGUAAAACUCCGUUGUAAGGGAAGAACAAGUACGUUAGUAACUGAACGUACCUUGACGGUACCUUACCAGAAAGCCACGGCUAACUACGUG